rnacentral:rRNA from 1 species
CCUACGGGUGGCUGCAGUGGGGAAUACUGCACAAUGGGCGCAAGCCUGAUGCAGCCAUGCCGCGUGUGUGAAGAAGGCCUUCGGGUUGUAAAGCACUUUCAGCGGGGAGGAAGGCGUUAAGGUUAAUAACCUUGUCGAUUGACGUUACCCGCAGAAGAAGCACCGGCUAACUCCGUGCCAGCAGCCGCGGUAAUACGGAGGGUGCGAGCGUUAAUCGGAAUUACUGGGCGUAAAGCGCACGCAGGCGGUCUGUCAAGUCGGAUGUGAAAUCCCCGGGCUCAACCUGGGAACUGCAUUCGAAACUGGCAGGCUAGAGUCUUGUAGAGGGGGGUAGAAUUCCAGGUGUAGCGGUGAAAUGCGUAGAGAUCUGGAGGAAUACCGGUGGCGAAGGCGGUCCCCUGGACAAAGACUGACGCUCAGGUGCGAAAGCGUGGGGAGCAAACAGGAUUAGAUACCCCUGUAGUC